rnacentral:rRNA from 1 species
GACGAACGCUGGCGGCGUGCCUAAUACAUGCAAGUCGAACGGUUUAGUUCCAAGAGGCUUGCCUUUUGGAACUAGACAGUGGCGGACGGGUGAGUAACACGUAGGCUACCUACUUGUCAAACCGGGAUAACCUCGGGAAACCGAAGCUAAACCCGGAUAAGCUCCUUUUUCGCAUGAAGGGGGAGUGAAAAGGUGCGACCUGAUGACAGAUGGGCCUGCGGCGCAUUAGUUAGUAGGUAGGGUAACGGCCUACCUAGGCGAUGAUGCGUAGCCGACCUGAGAGGGCGUACCGCCACACUGGGACAGGGAUACGGCCCAGGCUCAUACGGGAGGCAGCAGUAGGGAAUCUUCGGCGAUGGGCGAAAGCCUGACCACGCAACGCCGCGUGAAUGAGGAAGGCCUUCGUGUUGUAAAACUCUGUUGUCUGGGAAGAAGGGAAAGGGUAGGACCCUUUGGUGACGGUACCAAACGAGAAAGCCCCGGCUAACUACGUG